rnacentral:lncRNA from 1 species
CCAUUAGAUUCCUCCACAUAAUGUUGGUGAUAAGCGGUGCAGUCCUACCGACUGGUUUCUUCUUCAUGAGUUCCUCCGUUGGCUUCUCUGUCGCGAGUGCUAGUGCCCCUAAUGUGUCCAUGAUCAAAUUUACCCAUAGCAACUGUACUGCUGUGAGUGGUACCUCACCAGAUGAAACAGCGGCAACAAAAUUGAUCACGAGCGCAGCCACAUUAACUGUGAGCUGAAAUUGGAUGAAUUUCUGGAUGUUGUUAUAGACACACCUUCCCCAUUUCAACACUGUGGCAACUGAAGCAAAGUUAUCAUCUAAGAUGACAAUAUCAGAACUCUCUUUAGCCACUUCAGUGCCUUGAAUCCCCAUAGAAAGUCCUAUAUCUGCUUCCUUUAAAGCUGGUGCAUCGUUCGUUCCAUCACCUGUGACUGCGACAACAUGACCUUUCUUUCUCAAGCACUGCACCAUUAGAAGUUUGUCAAAAGGGGAUGAUCUUGCCAUCACGCGUAUCUUCUCAACUCUCUCCAUCCGUACUUCAUCUGUUAGGUUGCGAAAUUCUUCACCUUCUAUGACUGCUCCUUCAUCUACUUCCUGAUUAGGAUGGAGAAUCCCACAUUCUGUUGCUAUGGCCUUUGCAGUGAACACGUUGUCACCAGUGAUCAUCUUGAUGCUCACCCCAGCAUUUUGGCAAUCUUCCACUGCUUUCUUUACGCCAGGUCGGCAUGGAUCUUUUAGGCCAACAAAGCCCAAAAGAAUGAAAGAGUUGUCUGGAACAUUUCCGUGCAUAUGAUCAUUAUCCUUCUGCUCAGCUUUUGGCUUUUGCUUGUGUGCGAAUGCGAUACAUCUCAGGCUGCUGGCAGCCAUUCCUUCAAUUAUCCUGUCACAUUCUUCCUUAUCUGAUUCCCCUAGAGGUUUUAUGUUCCCUUCUAGAUCAUAGUAAUGGGAGCACAUUCUUAAAAUCAUUUCAGCAGCACCUUUCCAAUGCGCAUGAAUUGUGCAAUCACUGAUGUUCUUGACCAGGACACCACUCUUCUUUUUCUCUGAAUUGAAAGCUUCCACAUGUAGAAUGUUGAAAUUUCUUUUGAUUUGAUCCAUAUCCAUGUUCAAUUCCAUAACAGCCCAUGAAAGAAUAGCUUUUUCAGUAGGACUGCCUGAGAACUCGAAGCUGGAACAUGAAUCCGUGGACUUGAAAACACUGCCUGUAGUGUUUAAUCCAACCCCUUGGUGUAAUAAUUCAAGAACUUUGGCUGAAAUUGUUGUAUGACUUUCUGCCUUCACGUGCUGUUUGCCUAAGAAAAACUUUGUCACGGUCAUCUUAUUUAAUGUAAGAGUACCUGUUUUGUCUGUACAGAUGGUGGUGGCAGAUCCCAUAGUCUCACAUGCGGAGAGCUUCCUAACCAUUGCCUGAUCAGCCAUCAUUCUCUUCAUGGAAUAAGCCAGAGUAAGUGUAACAGCUAAAGGCAAGCCUUCAGGAAUUGCGACAACAACAAUGGUAACAGCAGCAGCAACAAUUCCCACCACAGCAUUGAUCACAUCAUCAGACGAUGUUUUGCUCCCGAUGAAUUCUUUGUUCCCAUUCUCAUCUUUUGUGGUCCCAGUAAAGUAUCUAACCAACAGGACAACAAGAACUAAGAAAGCAACUAGCAACCCAACUUUACCAAUCGAUGUAGUAAGCUUGUUGAGUCGUUCUUGGAGAGGGGUUUGCUCAUUAGAAUCACUGCUGAUUUGGCUCAUCAUUUCACCCCAGGUCGUGUUCAUUCCAACCGAUGUCACAAGCAUCAUGCCAUAGCCAUCGGCAACCUUUGUCCCAGAAAUCAAGAACGGAUUUUGUCUAAGGUUAAUCUCGACAUGAUCACUUUCACCUGUCAUGCUAGAUUCAUCCACUUGUAAAGAAUGACCUUGUACCAAAAUCCCAUCAGCAGGGACUUGAUCUCCAAUCUUCAAGCAAAUGACAUCUCCAACAACAAUUUCAAAUAUCGAUAUCUGUUGGCGCCUCCCCUUUCUAACAGCUUCAACCGGAAUAUUCUUGCUCACUUUAGAUAGCUUAUCAAACUGUCUGUUUUGUCUAAAAUUACUAAUAGACGAAACAGCGAUGACAAGAAACACCGCGACAUAAAUACUCCCUCCAUCAUACCAUCCUUCUUUCAGUCCAUGCUCCUUAAUUCCAAAUCCAAGAGACAGAGCAGCACAGAGCAAUAGUAUAAUAAUGGUGGGAUCCUUAAAUGAUUCCCAAACAAAUACGAAGAAACUCUUAGUAGGUGGCUUACGAUACGUAUUGCUUCCAAACGCCUCAUGUCUACGUGCAACAUCUUCUGAAUCUCCGCUUACACCAUCAGUUGUAUCACUUUUUAGAGAUGCAGCAACACCUUGUACACCUCCAAGGUUAGCAAGUUCGUCAAAGUUUUUAUCUUUUACAAGCUUAGCUAGACUCGACUGAUCAAUGCCUGAGAAAAAAGGGUGGUGUUCAACUACAUCAAUCGCGAUUGUAUCAUUCGACACACAAAGUAUUUUUCUUGGAUAGUAGGCAUGAUUAUAAGAUGGCACAAGGGUAGUUUUAAAAGCUCUGGAACAAUAGAUGGUAGCAAAAGCUAAGUGCCAUCUUUUCUUGUUAGACAAUUCAAUUUCUUUUGACAAAUCAGUUGUGAUUUUGUUCAUGAAUAGGUAAUGCAAGUUUUCUUCAAACAUGUUUGAUUGAAAAUAUGUAUAAUAAUAACGAUGAACAAUUAAAUGACAAAAAAAAAAUCAAAUAAUUUGUGAUUGUGUUUUUGAGUGAAGUAGUAAUAAUCCCCUGAAGUUAAUCAUAUUAUUUAAGUACUAAUACACCGCGUAAUCAAGUCUAUGAAGUUAUGUUGAGUGCAGUUUCAUGGAUAUUUCCAUAAACCGCCUUUCGGGUCUCCACUAUUUUCUUGCGGCCCACGAUCUAAUUAAGUUGGGCUUCUUGUACAAGUGACCAAAUUGUUUACUUCUGAGAAAAUUUUAGAAAUAACAAACAUAAUAAAUAUAAUAAAGUUUUAUAGUUAUAGUUUCGUCUGCUAUGAACGUCGUUGUUUGUACAUUUUUGUCUGUUUGUAUGUUUCGCUAGUCAAUAUAUAUAUAUAUAUAUAUAUAUAUAAGGUAUAUACAAAAUUUUAAAUUUAUACAAUCAGAAAUUGAGUUAUGCAAAUUCCAGAUCUGUAAUCAGGUGAAUAGCAAAAAUUGGGGGAAUUGUAGCUAUAAUACCUAAUAUAGGCUAAAUGUUUGUUAUUCGGCAUAAUUUCUCUUCAAUAAAACAGAUGUAUUUUCAGUAUGUAUCGAUGUUAUACGAAUAGUAUUUCCUCCGUCUCAUUUUAUAUGAGUAUUUUUGACUUGACAUGCAAUUUAACAAAUAAAUGAAUAGUUUUGAAACUUGUGGUUUAGACGCUUUUUUCGCGGCAAGAGCUGUGUUGUUGCAUCAGUAAUCGCGGAUCAGCAUGCCGCGGUGAAUAUGUACCCGGGCCCGAUCUCUCCAACGCAUAAAUGGUUGUGAGUUCACGUUCUCAUCAUCUUUGGUAAAAUCAAAUAGAUGAUAGAUAUUUGUGUAGUCAUAAAUCAUUCAUUAAGGAUAAAUAGGUAUUUUAAAGUUAAAUUGUUAUUUAAUAUAGAAAUGUAUUAUUCUUUUUGGAACGGAUGAAAAAGGAAAUACAUUCGUACAAGUGGGAUAGAAGAAGUAUAUACAAAUUGUCUAUAUAUGAUGUAUAACUAUGUAUUAGAAUAUAUGUUUUUUAUAUGAGUAAUAUAUACUCAUACUUAUAAUUUUUUCAAAUUUUCUUCAAAUAGUUCCAAAUUUUAAAUAUGAGUUCCUUUCAAUAUUUUUGAGUUUUAUAUAUUAAAUUCAUCUAAAUAAUUCACAUUUGUGAUACGGUUAAUUUAAUUAAGUUUCAUAAUAGAAUUUUGAGAUAACUAUGAUCCAAAACACUUUAGUCAACUAUAAAACAUAUUUGUUGUAUAUAAUAUAUCUGACCAGGUAUGUAAUUCGAAUUUAAUUGAAACUUAACACAAUCAGGUAAUAGGUAAUUUUUUCACCUAUUGUAGCAUAUUAGCUGAUAAUGAUUUCUUAACUAUCGUACAAUUGAAUGAUAUAUUAAGCUUUCGCUAUAUAAGAAGGAAAGAUAUAAAUGACUUACAUAUAAGCUAAGUCAUGAUAAAUUAAUUAUUGUAUUUUAACUUAACUGUUAAGACUACUAAUUAUUAUGUAGCUAGGUUUCUUUUUGUUUACAAUUUGGUCAUGUCGACAAUAUGAUCCGUGUGUGAAGUAUUUAAUUAUGAAAUGAAGCAGCCAUUUAUUUAUUUCACAAUAUAAUUUUUUGUCAUUACAUAUGGUUUUGAUAAAAGUCAAUUUUACCAACAAUGUUUAGGAGCACUUAAUAAAUCAAGAAAAUUUUUUUUGAAAUAAGAUGCAACUGAUAAUUUAGGAAAGAAAUAGGUUCAAAAAAGAAAAUAAUUUGACUUUGCAUGUAUCCACCCUCUUCAAAUUAUAUGGAAUAUAGUAUUGUUGUGAUCAUUCAAGAAAAUAAAAACAAAGAAGAGACAAACACCUUAUUUGUUUGUAUAUUUAAUAAGGAUUUGGAAUCUUAAUUAUUCAAUUUUUAGUAAAUAAGUAUGUCUAUCUUUUAGAUCUUAAUUUUAAUUAUUCAAUUCUUAAUUUUCAAGUAUUUCUUUUUUCUGUGUUUUGCAAUCAAAGAAACUAAAUAGGCUAAAAGAUAUUAAAGCUCGAGUCCAACAAGGCAGAAAGUAGGGUUGCAAACUUUUUUUUUUUAGAACAUAAAUUUUAUCGGUUAUCGAUUUAAAAAUACGUUAAAUUAGUUUAAAAUUAUUAAGAUAUUGUUUAUCGACAAUCAGUGAUAGUUUUUAACAGUUAAGAUUUGACACGGAAUAAUGAUUGAAAAUCAUUUAGAAAUAAGAUAACAAACAAAAUAAACCAUACACGUGAGUUGACAUAUUAUAUCUUGUACAAAAGUAAACACAGACACAUUGUAGUAUAAUUAAAAGUUUCAAAUUGCCAAAAAUAAAAAUAUGAAACUAAACGUUAAAUAUUUUAUAUGCCGAUUGAUAUAAAUAUAAUUACAGGGCUAGUCAUGAAAAAUAUCAAAAUGCCAAGAAUCAAUAACUCAUAGUAAAUAUUAUUAAAAUUAUUAUCGGAAGAGCUAAAUCAAUUACCCAUUACUAUAAAUCACAAUAAAUUUGGGUUAUCAUUUCAAUUCAAAUAGUAAAAAAAAACAAUGUUUUUUGUAACAUGGGCGCAAAAAAUAUUUGGAAAGGAAGGCUCUAAUUCUGCGAUCAGUUUCACAUAAUUUCAUUGAUCUUUUCAACUUCUCAAUCCCCAAAUUGAUAUGACUCAGUAAGUCAAAUUAGGAACACAGAUACAAAAUCAACGGUGCCGGAAAGUACUUCUGACUGAAAAUUCACAGGCAUUGCACCGGCGAUCGGCGAUCGGCGAUCGGCGAUCAGUUUAUAUUGCGUAAACUGAAAGAGGUAACAAAUUGUCAUCUCUUCUCAUUCCUUGGGAUCCAUAUUACACACAUUUUCCAUUUCUUAACCCUGCUAUGAUCAACUUGAAAACAAGUUUUAUUGCAUUCCGAAUUCUAUGAUGAUUGACAAUGAGUGAAUGCCUGAUGUAUCUCUAUUUUGAUGCUUCUAGAAAUUACUGUAGCUAUUAAUCUAGCUUUAAGAUAAAUAUAUCUAAGAUACUAUUGUAGAUCAUUCUAGAAGCAUUUGUAAAAAAUCUUAAGUUCUUUUUUUGAUGUUCCAAAGAGUUAACUUUAGUCUUUUCAGUCUAUUUGUUGAAUAUCUUUUGUCUUUACUACUUAGGAAGUGGAGAAAUUUGGAUAUGCAAAGGGAGAAACUCUGGACUUUACACUUCUAGAUGUGUUCAACUCUUAAUUUGAUAUUUUUGUUAAUACUUGAGUAAUUUUCAACUGUAAAUCUAUACUCCGUUACUGUAGUAGAGAAUUCUGUACAAAUCUUUAUUUAAAAACAUACCAUACACAAAUACAAGUAGUGAGUAAUAAAUGAAUGCAACAUAAAUCAACCAUUUCACAACAAACUAGAACAUCUAAAUUUACUCUAUUUUAACCUGAGAUAACUGAAGAUUGGUUUCUCUGGGACAGUUAUGCACUUGACAAGCCAACCAAUUGGCCAAGAUGCAGCUGCAAAUCCAAUGCAGAUUCCCCAUUGCCCCCAAUUCAGCCUCUCUGUAUUUGCAAACUUCUUUAGAAACUCCACCAUCACCACUUGGAGAACCAAUGUUAUUCCGAUGAUUCCCAUGAACAACUUGUUCUUGUGUAUUCCCUCAAAGACAUUCUUCUUCUCCAGGUUUCGCGCGUUGAAUUCAUUGAAAACUUGGCAAAGAACAAACGUGUUGAAGAUUAAUGUAUCGUUUACCCUCUUGCUGACACCAAAGAUUGAUUCUCCUCCGAAUUGUAAGGUCAAUAAAACAGCAAUCUGAUAUAAGGCCUGAGCCAUUAGAUUUCUCCACAUAAUGUUGGUAAUAAGCGGUGCAGUCCUACCGACAGGUUUCUUCUUCAUGAGUUCCUCCGUUGGCUUCUCUGUCGCGAGUGCUAGUGCCCCUAAUGUGUCCAUGAUCAAAUUUACCCAUAGCAACUGUACUGCUGUGAGUGGUACCUCACCAGAUGAAACAGCGGCUACAAAAUUGAUCACGAGCGCAGCCACAUUUACUGUGAGCUGAAAUUGGAUGAAUUUCUGGAUGUUGUUAUAGACACACCUUCCCCAUUUCAAAACUGUGGCAAC